UCAAGUCCCUCUAUCCCCA
rnacentral:tRNA from 45 species